GCUAGGGAGCUGAUUGAGACGCAGGGUAAGUGAACAGGAACUUAAAUACACAUUGGUGAUGAGCUACGUACAUGACAAACAGCUGUGAUGAAAGUUAGUGUCCAUGGAAACAGAUUAGUGGUGGGAAAAAAGAAACACAGGAACUGAAGAAAUACAAACUUAACGUCCAGAGAAUAAAACUAAACUGAACAUAAUGGUGACACAUUGCCUCCCUCCGGCAAAGCACAACCUUGCGUCGUAACUGAUGGAGGUGGCUUAGGAGGUGAACGAAGGAGUGGGGAAGAGAUGGUAACAGGGGAUGUCAAAGAGAUGGUAGUCAGUCUGAGGAGGGGUGACCGAGGAACAACAACGAAACCCAAAGAUGUAGAAUGUCUGAUGACACAGACCCAGAGCUUCCCACAUUCCACAGUGGAGUCAAGGGAGGGAGGAGCCGAGAUGUAGAUGGUGUGGCUGUCAACAUCUGGGGGCUGACCGAUAGAGAUGAGGCCGAUGGAUCCAUAGGCACAGACGGAGGGUGAUGGAGCUGAGCGCAGGUUCUGGAGACCUGGGAGCAGUUGUGACGAGCGUCAGAGGUGGAACCAGAGCACCUGAAUAGAGGCCGCUGGUGUCACAGGAUCACUCCCCUGGUCAGAUUCAUGUUGGGGUUCCACGUCCGGCACGAUGGUGAAAGAUCUGGACUGCAGGCAGGCCAAUCAGCACCCAAACUCUUUUACGACAAAGCCAUGACAAAGCCAUUUGAUUGGUAACCCUGUUGUCAUGUGCAGGAGAGGCAAAGGCAAAGAAGGGGUGAGGUGGAUAUAAUAACAGUCAUCAUAACUUUAAUUUCUUUUUUAAUAACCUGUUGACAAGAACAAAGAAGGCAGUCCAACAUGAAAACAGUCCACUGGAGAAAAACAACAUAACAGCUUUACCAAAGCAGAUAAUACUGAUAAUACUGGACAGUAAGUAAGGGCUUAAAUAUACAGGAGAUAAUAACUGAACAAGAAACAGGUGCACAAAGCAAUCAGUUACCAUGACAACAAAGGGCAUAGUCAGUAACCUAGGAAACAGAAACAAAGCACAAGAACCAAACGGAAGCAGAAAAGCAAAUAAACAGCCCACAGAACAGAAUUUAAACCUUACACCUAUAGUGUAUAGUGUUAAUUAGUUUAAAUAAUUAAAAGAUGUUCAUCAGUAUGCAACUUUAUUUUUUUAUAAAUAAUUAUGAAAGGGGUGCCCUUUUUUCUCUUAAGCACUGCCUCCCAAAUUGUCUGUGCAUGGCCCUGAAUAUAGUAGUUUGUUAUUAAAUAUUAAAUUAUUAAUUAAAUCAUUACACAAACCUUAGGUAAAAUAUUCUUAAUUAGUUUAAUCUAUUUUAUCAACCCUUUUCCAUACUGAAUAAAUUAAACUGAAAUAUUAUUAACUAUUUCUCUUGCUCUGGAUUUUGAAUCGGUUGUUUUCUCUGAGCUUGUUGCAAUAUGUGCAACAAUUAUUAGAAAUCACCUUAUGGAACGGCCUUAAUGUCAGUGCUUUAACAUGCUGCCGAUGUAGGCAGCUCAUUAUGUUUUGGAACGGAGCCCACAGUGUAAAAGUUUCACAAAGAAUCUGUAAAUCAAUGAAGGAUCUUUUAUUUGUGCACAUAAAACAAUGUGGAAUUUACAGUUUGAAUUUAAAUCCACAGUAUCUUUUAUUUUAUGACAAAAGGUUCACAAGUCACAAGAUUACAUAUUUGGCAGAAUAUUGGCUUCCUUUGAAAACCAAAUACAUUAAAAAAACAAAAAAACAAAACAAGGUAGGUCUCCCAUCAUAUUCCAGAAUAACUAAUCAUGACAAUGACAAACAUAAUGGGUUUAAAACAAAUAAUCAUGGCCACGUUCCUCAUCAUUGAUGGAAAAAGAAACAGCUGAAUGUAAAUCACAGUGGAGCCCAGUCGCGUAUGUGUGUGUGUGUGUGUGUGUGUGUGUGUAUGAACGGUUUUUCAGGCCCUGCUAUGAAGUUAUUCGUGGCCUAUGUGUUCUGGAGGACAGGAUGAAUGAGCCAGACAGCCACGAUGCCCACAAGGGCUGAGAGAUGGUGUUAUUUUCAAGACGAAUGGGCAUCAGAGCUUUUAGGUACACAACAGAAAUCCAAUGAAAGGGAACAUCGCAUCAUUUGAUGAGGCAUUCGGGGCGUCCCUGGGGAAAUCGAGCCCCAUGGCUAUAUGACAAAUGUGUGUGAGCUGCAGUGAUUUUAGAGUGACGCACAUCGCCUGCGGUCCUGCACUCUUCGUCCUUGAAGAUGGCUUUUCUGAAGUCCACUACUUCACUAUUACUCCGCUUUACCCACAUUUUGAGCAGGUUUUCGACCAUUUACGAGAGACUGACACCACAUCCAUUUUAACUGACAGCCAGCAAAUAGCCCUCCAGUCUCCAUUUACUUCCACUGGGACGUCAACUGAAAAUAGCAGCACAGCCUCAAUGCUGGACUUUCUUUUGGCUGAAGUUUGAAUAAUGCUUGUUUAAAUGAGUUUACCCUUAUGUUUGAAACUCAGAAAGUUUUACCAGUACAACCAGAAUCUCUGCAGUGUUAAAUGGUGCAUUAUGGAUGAAGGCUGGGAAAUUUUCACAACUGUGCUUUCUGAGAUGUCUGUGUCAGCUCUGAUAGUUUGUUGAUCUGAAAAUCAAAUGCACUGUUUUUUAUGAGACUAAGGGAAGCAAUAUGGCCAACAUUCUAGCCUUGGUUGGUUCAUAUCAAAUGUAUAGACCUUUUUAGUGAGAGCUUGCAUGAUAUUCAAUGCUUUUCCUGAAGGACAGUAAUGGCACUUUCUUUCUUUCUUUUUUUUUUUUUUUUUUUUUUUGGCCUCUUUGUCCUGAACACUCUGCUGGUUCUCCCUUUCAUCUGCAUAGCACUGUCAUGAAUAUGAAAAUGCUUCAGUGUUUUUAUGGUUUGCAAUUUAAUAUAUAACUGCAUGUGGCAUAUAUAAAUGUACAACCAUGCAUACUUUCAUAAUAAAGUAUUG